rnacentral:rRNA from 1 species
CGGGUGUGAAUUAGCGGCGAACGGGUGAGGAACACGUGAAGAAUCUGCCUUCAACUCUGGGAUAACUCCGGGAAACCGGGGCUAAUACCGGAUAUGAGCCUUGAUCGCAUGAUCGGGGCUGGAAAGUUUUUCGGUUGAAGAUGACUUCGCGGCCUAUCAGCUUGUUGGUGAGGUAAUGGCUCACCAAGGCGACGACGGGUAGCCGGCCUGAGAGGGCGACCGGCCACACUGGGACUGAGACACGGCCCAGACUCCUACGGGAGGCAGCAGUGGGGAAUAUUGGGCAAUGGAGGAAACUCUGACCCAGCGACGCCGCGUGAGGGAUGAAGGCCUUCGGGUUGUAAACCUCUUUCAGUAGGGAAGAAGCGAAAGUGACGGUACCUACAGAAGAAGCACCGGCUAACUAUGUGCCAGCAGCCGCGGUAAUACAUAGGGUGCAAGCGUUGUCCGGAAUUAUUGGGCGUAAAGAGCUCGUAGGUGGUUCGAUACGUCGGAUGUGAAAAUCAGGGGCUCAACCCCUGACCUGCAUCCGAUACGGUCGAGCUAGAGUUUGGUAGGGGAGACUGGAAUUCCUGGUGUAGCGGUGGAAUGCGCAGAUAUCAGGAGGAACACCGAUGGCGAAGGCAGGUCUCUGGGCCAAUACUGACACUGAGGAGCGAAAGCGUGGGGAGCGAACAGGAUUAGAUACCCUGGUAGUCCACGCCGUAAACGGUGGGCGCUAGUUGUGCGAACCUUCCACGGUUUGUGCGACGCAGCUAACGCAUUAAGCGCCCCGCCUGGGGAGUACGAUCGCAAGAUUAAAACUCAAAGGAAUUGACGGGGCCCCGCACAAGCAGCGGAGCAUGCGGCUUAAUUCGACGCAACGCGAAGAACCUUACCAAGGCUUGACAUAUACAGGAAUAUGGCAGAGAUGUCAUAGCCGCAAGGUCUGUAUACAGGUGGUGCAUGGGUGUCGUCAGCUCGUGUCGUGAGAUGUUGGGG